AAUAUUGGACAAUGGGUGAAAGCCUGAUCCAGCCAUGCAGCGUGUUUUAAGAAGGUCUUCGGAUUGUAAAGUACUUUAAGUUGGGAGGAAGGGCAGUAAGUUAAUACCUUGCUGUAUUGACGUUACCGACAGAAUAAGCAUCGGCUAACUUCGUGCCAGCAGCCGCGGUAACACUAAGGGCGCAAGCGUUAAUCGGAAUUACUGGGCGUAAAGCGCGCGUAGUAGGUUAGUUAAAUUGGAAGUGAAAGCCGCGGGCUCAACCUGGGAACUGCUUUCAAAACUGGCAAGCUAGAGUAUGGCAGAGGGUGGUGGAAUUUCCUGUGUAGCGGUGAAAUGCGUAGAUAUAAGAAGGAACACCAGUGGAGAAGGCGACUACCUGGACUGAUACUGACACUGAGGUGCGAAAGCGUGGGGAGCAAAC
rnacentral:rRNA from 1 species